UCUAAUUUCCCUAGACCAAGGAAAUCAGCUAAAAUGCAUAACUGUGCCGUCGGCUAGCUUUGAUUCCAAUAUGUGAGGGUGAAAAACCAUAACUAGUGUCCUCUCCCAAACUGAAUCCACAGAGAAAUAGAUUAACAAUAUCUUCAAAGGGGAAGGAGUGGAAAUUCGACCAAAAUACAUUUCCUUGCAACCUAAAGGUAACUUAAUGUAGAAAUAUUGUCCAGUAAUGAUUUUUAUUGAUCACUAGAAUUGUGUUAAACAACAUGUUGUUAGGUUUCUUAGGAUGUUAUCUAUAAAGAUAAGACUAAAUCUAUACAUGAUAUUAAUUUAUUAACUAGUUAUUGAUAAUCACUAUCUAUACUAAUAUCAGCCAGUUCAUGUUAGACAUCGGUUGCAGAGUCCAACUUCAGAAGAAAGAUCAAGAAACUAAGCGCAGAGAAGCAGUUAUUGAAUUCAAAGAUUGUAUAUAAAGAAUAACUUUCUAUAUCAAACCUCAGUCCUAUUUUCCUAGACUGAACUCGGUUUUUCUGGAAUAUUUUUAAUUUUUCUUUCUUUUUUAUAUAUAUCUGAUUUCCUCGCUUGCAAACAGAUAGACAUAUAAUAGAUUGAUAAGAAUAGAUAUACCCAGAUUUAGAAGAUGAAAAUCCCAAAGACCAGAACUUGAAAUCCUAAAAAGUUUUAGACUUUGAUAGAUUAGAGAUUGAAUAAUAACCCAGAACCUGUAGAUUUACAGAGUGGUUGCUCAGAUACCAUUUGAUGACUUCUUCCCAAGAAUUUCCACUUUGAUUUUGGUUGGAUCUAACAGGAACAUGAUGAUUGAUGGUUUGAUGGAUGAUUAGGGUUGAUAGAUGAUCAGCCAUCUAACUAGCUUCCUCCGAACAGGUUUAUGGAUACGUUUGAUGGAUUGAAUGGAAACACUGAAGCCGCAUAAUGGCC
rnacentral:lncRNA from 1 species